UUAAUAUCUAUAUUACUCUCUGUCUACAUUGUCCCUUUCACAUUGAGUAAGAUGCGACACAAUUAAUAGACAAUUAAAUAAAAUGCCUUCCAAUGUCAACCAUCACAAACUUUCCACUUGUGUGUGUGCUUCUUCAGGAGAAAGGCCUCAGUGGAUAAGAAUUAUGAGUGGGACUCAACUAAUGUGUCCAUUCAGCCAGGAGAUCAAGACCUUGAAGGCACAAGUGAGAGAGCUAUAAUGUUCCUUUUUAGACUGGCAUGCCACUGUCUGUGAAUUAAAGAUGUUCAGAACUGAGUUUAAUAACACUAGCUCUGUUGCUUAAGAACAGGCGUGUCAAUCUCAUUUUGCCCUAAGGGCCACAUUCGGUCUUCACCAAGGCCACACAGCAAAUUGGUUGUCUUGCCUCCCUGUCAAGAUCCACAUUAAAUCUGUCCACUCUUUUGGGACUUUUUAAAUGUUCCUGACUGUCUAACUUUAGUUUUAGUUACUGUUAGCGGGCUGGACACAGUGAACUAAAGGUUCUUCAGAAAUGCCUCAAUUGGUUUGAUUGACACCCCUGCUUUAGAUUAUAUAAGGAUCUUUCUAAUCCCUAUCCAAUCUUCUCCUGCUUUAGGCCUGUUCUCCUCAGUGAGUCUACUGAAGUCUACUCCCAGCAUGCACCAUUCCAGGAAAGGCCUCAAAGAGUCCGUCCAAUUCCAGGGUCAUCACCAUGAGACCAGCCGCUACUCAGAGCCCGAGCCAGAGACUGUGCUGUUCUGACAAUCCCAUCUAUACCUAAGGUCUCGGGUCCUGUCCCCAUGCUUCUCUACAGCCUGGAGCCCUCUGAAUGAUUUCCCUUCACUGGCCCUGUCUGGGCAGAGCACAACCCUCAGCGGCAGAAUAAUUGGUUCAGAAAAAGGUAUCCCUGCUGGUAUCACUGUGACUUACUCUGUCUCUCUUCAGGUCGCUCCUCUCUCUCUCGCUCUGUCUCUCUAUCUCUCUUCCUCUCCUCUCUCCUUGUCUCUCUGUUUCAGUGUCUCUCUGCAUUAUGCCUGGCUGCGUGGCACACAUUUCCUCUCAGCUGAAAGCUUGUCAAGCAACACCUCUCUCAGUUAA
rnacentral:lncRNA from 13 species